UGCAAGUCGAGCGGUAAGGCCCUUUCGGGGGUACACGAGCGGCGAACGGGUGAGUAACACGUGGGCGACCUGCCUUCAGCUCUGGGAUAAGCCUGGGAAACUGGGUCUAAUACCGGAUAUGACUCCAUGAUGCAUGUUGUGGGGUGGAAGGCUUUUGCGGCUGGAGAUGGGCCCGCGGCCUAUCAGCUUGUUGGUGGGGUGAUGGCCUACCAAGGCGACGACGGGCAGCCGGCCUGAGAGGGCGACCGGCCACACUGGGACUGAGACACGGCCCAGACUCCUACGGGAGGCAGCAGUGGGGAAUCUUGCGCAAUGGGCGAAAGCCUGACGCAGCGACGCCGCGUGAGGGAUGACGGCCUUCAGGUUGUAAACCUCUUUCAGCCCUGACGAAGCGAAAGUGACGGUAGGGGCAGAAGAAGCACCGGCCAACUACGUGCCAGCAGCCGCGGUAAUACGUAGGGUGCAAGCGUUGUCCGGAAUUAUUGGGCGUAAAGAGCUCGUAGGCGGUCUGUCGCGUCGGCUGUGAAAACUCGGGGCUCAACCCCGAGCUUGCAGUCGAUACGGGCAGGCUGGAGUUCGGCAGGGGAGACUGGAAUUCCUGGUGUAGCGGUGAAAUGCGCAGAUAUCAGGAGGAACACCGGUGGCGAAGGCGGGUCUCUGGGCCGAUACUGACGCUGAGGAGCGAAAGCGUGGGGAGCGAACAGGAUUAGAUACCCUGGUAGUCCACGCCGUAAACGGUGGCCGUUAGUGGUGGGAUCAUUUCACCGGCUCUGUGGCGUAACCUAGGCCAUUAGCGGCCCCGCCGGGGGGAUUCCGGCCGCAUGGUUAACCUUAAAUCGAUUGGCGGGG
rnacentral:rRNA from 1 species